GGCCAGCGUUGCGUCUGGCUCUCUGAGUCGACGUACUCGCUUGGUCAUCCGUAUGGGAAGCCUGCUCGGCCUUCACUGGUCGGCUGGUGGAUCAUACACUUUACUUUGAAAAAAUUAGAGUGUUUCAGGCAGGCAAUUGCUUGGAUACUUCAGCAUGGAAUAAUGGAAUAGGGCUGCUGCCCCAUUUUGUUGGUUUCUGGGACCGUAGCA
rnacentral:rRNA from 1 species